UCCACAUCCAGGUUCCUUCCCCUGCUUCCGCCGCCACUCGCCUCCAUGAGAGUCCUCCUCUGCCGCCGCUACCGCUCUCUCCUCCUCACCCCCAACCUCAUGGCUCCUUCCCCUCACAGCAGCGGCGGCCUCUCCCUGCAACAAGGUUGCAGCGCUCUCGCGAGUGCGAGUCUCACAGCUGCGGUGCUUGCGAUGACUUCUAUGGAGGAAGCCAAGAAGAGCUGGGGACGCGGCGACUCGCUGGUGGUGGAUCUUUAGAAGAGGGAGACUAGGGAGGCCCUGGCUAGGGCCACUCAGCAGGCACCACUGCAGGGGUAGCUCUCCAUCUGCGGAGACGCUCCUUCUCCUCCUCGACUUUUCAGUUGCUUCAGUGGGAUCCCAAGAAUGAAUAGAAUAUGAACAACAACUCAAGCCAGCAACGAUGGAAGCAAGAACUCAGGUCCCCAGAUGUAGCUUUAUCUCCCCUGUGGAUACCCUAUUAUAUAUUUAAUAAAUAUAUCAGUUUCGAUUGAGAAUUUUUCUCGUAUACGUUUGCUCUUUAUUUGUGGACCAAUAUUACCAUAUGCUGCAUGAGACACCAGAUCAGAUGAAUAAGUUUUAUCAAGAUACCAACAGGAUUGGCCGGCCAGGUUCUGAUGGAGUCAUGGAAUAUGUUGCAAUAUUGCCUGUAAGUUUUAUCAUACCAACAGGAUGGGUCAACCAGGUUCUGUUGGAGUCAUGGAAUAUGUAGCAUUAUUGCCUGUAAGCUCUACUAUGUGAAUUUAUUGCUACAACUGGUUCAACUUUAACCUUAACUAACUCUCCGUAUUUCCAUCUCUUAUGUGUUUGAACAGGCAGUAUCUGUAUCAGCUGUAUAUGAGUUUUCUCAAGUCUAGGCUAUGUUUCUCAAUGUAGGCCUAUUAUAUGUGUGGUCUCCUUGAUUUGGUGAACUAAUUUUUACUUGAUUAUUUGUAGUUCGAUGGUCUGGAAGAUACUUAUAUAUACUCUGAACCUUCCUCACACCUGUUUUUCAGAAAUUCUAUCAACAGCUUUGCGGGAAGCUAUGGAAGUAUCCUAUCAUAUUCAACUCAUUUUCUUAAGAGGACUUCUCAAGUGUUUAAAGCUGAAUUACUUCCGCUUGUAUUGUAUUUAAGCACUUGAAGGUAUUUUUGCUGCAUGAACCUUUCCCAAAAGCCGAUUCCUCAUUAUCUUCAUUUCAAUUCAAUGCUAUCUAGGAUUCCAAGAAAACUAGAGCGAGGUAUGUAUGAGUGCAUAAUUACACGAGAACUAACCAGUCAUAACCUUAUGGAUUCUUAGAGGAAACUCCAGAGUUGAUCUUCCAUGUAAAGGCUAAAAAAUUCUAAAUGAUAAGAUUUAUAUUUGUUCAGAUGCCCUGUUCUUAAAGUUACCCUCCACAUGUCGUAGUGUCAUCUCUGCCGAUAAUCAGGUGGUGUUUUGUUGCUUGACAACCAUGUAAUUUACUUAGUUGGUACGCUCUCUUGGUACAUGGUAUACCUCAAAGUGAAUAUCACCAUAUAAAUCUUGUUUUCUGGAGUUGUAAAAAAUAGAUCAUUGAUGCUGGUUUCAGGCUUGUUAGCUCCUGUAUUAAUUGAUUUCCUAUGAUGUCAAUUGUUAUGGUGAUAAAUUUAUUUGUUGUGAUGCGAUAUCCGAAUAAUCUUUUAUCUUUCACAAGUAGAAACUAUUACGCCACUUUAUUUGGCUUUUUUUCUCAGUGUAGAUAUUUGUUUGCACCGAAACUUUGUUUUUCAUAGGAUUAAAUGAGUAUGAAACAAUUGAGGUUAUGGUGAUCCCUAUCCUAAUAUAUUUUUUGGUUUCUUGUGAGCUUACUUCCACGUUAAAAAUCAGGUAGUAUAACUAUUGUAUUUUGUUUCUUAUUUCUUAUGCUGAAAGUGAUUGAAACAUAUGAUUUAGUCUAUUGCUGAUUCACCAUGUUGUGUGAGGCAGUUCCUUCCCAUUGCCCAUAAUGAUCUUUAGUUCCCACGUAAGCAGCUAAUAACUAUUUUGUAUAUUUGGUAGGACGUAAAAGCUAUUCUAAUAUUUUAGCCAUGCUUAUUGAAAAAUGUAAUUAUUCAAGCCGUGAUUUUUAUUGUUAGCCUGCUACCUUCCAUUUUAGUUAUGGAUUAUCGUAGGUGCAAAGUAUGGCUUCCAUAGUGACUAUACUCUUUCCCUGUCUGUUAACCUAAGGUUGCAUUUACUGUUUACAAUGGAAACUAUUUAUUGUAAAUCCAGUAUAGUUGUUGAUCUUUGAAUAUUUUUGUCAAUUGACCACUUAAUUAUGUUUUAUUUCCUCUUUUAUCCAUUAAAUAGAUGUGCCCCAAAUAUGAUUUCUUUGUGCUCGUUUAUUCUUGUUAGAGAUUGAUGCAAAUAUUUUUGUCCAUUGCCCACGUAAUCAUGUUUUAUUUCCCCUUUUAUCCAUUAAAUAGAUAUACCCCAAUUAUGAUAAUUUCUUCGUGCUCGUUGAUUCUUGUUUGACAUUGACUCAAAUAUUGUUGGUUGUGACUGUCUGUGAAACAUUGGAUUUUUCUUUAGCAAGAUGUGGUUCUGGUUGUGGGGCUUGAGAUAAUUUUUUAUAUAAAAAGCACAAGAGAGCAAUCAGCUUAGUUCCUGCUUGCUGGAUUUGCUCCAGUGAUGCUCUGCACUCCCAUCAUCACCAUGUCAGCAUAUUAUUUAUUUCUGUUUGUGAUAGCUUAUCCUAUUGAUGUUGAUUAAGUACAUAUUUGAACCUGUACCAACUAACAAAAUUGUGAAGAAAAUAUAUUGUCAUGUCCUCACUCCCUACUAUGUAGUCUAUAACGAUGAACAAAAUGUAUGUAUAACAUAGAAAUUGUUCAGAUAAUAAAUUAGCAACAUAUUUUCAAGCUACCGAAAUGACAGAUCUUAUGCAUACCAGAUGGAAUCCAAAUUAGUGAGGGACACCUAAUGUUUGAACCUGACCAAGAUCAUGGCUCUAUUUGCGAACAAUUUCAGUGGCAGAUGUGAUGUUAUUUUGAUCUAAGAUUUCAUCCAACUGCAAAAUCUGUCUUAGCAUGUAAAAGACUAAAAGGUAUGUAUGCUGACCAAUAAUUCUUACAUGUAUUCCUUUAUUUGUUAGGAAUGGUGAUGAAGCACAUAGGGAAAAGAUAGACCAUAAUGGCCUGCUUCAGCUGAAGGUCAUAUUAACCAGUCAAUAGAGCAGCAGUUAUGGAAAUUUCUGUGGGCACAUUCUGUGGUAAAAAAUACUAUUUUUCCUCUCUAAAAAAUGGCAUGUAAAAUCUGAAAUUUUGAAUUUUAUGAUAUGCCAAAAUGUGUGGAUAAAUAUGAAUGCAUGCUAAUGCCUCUUAAUAAUAAUCCAUGUCGUGAAUAUCUAUCUAAUAGUGUACUUACUUGGUCCUCUAAUUUCUCCGGGGCUAUCUCUAACCGAUGAACACAUGUUACAGCUAAUGGAUAUUGAUUCGGUGCAGAGUUUCUUGUUUCAGGUUGGAGGAGGAGUAGCUGGAACCUUGAUGCAUGAAUAUAAGUGGGUUUUAUUUUUCUCUUAAGAUUUGCCCAUUGAGUGUAACCAUAUGGUAUGCCAUAAUAAGAAGGAUUAGCUUUUACUUGGAUUUUGUAAAAUGACCAAAUGUUUGUAUUAUUGUGUU